CUUUACUCAUGGUUAAUUUACUUCAGAGUGUAUUGAUGUUUUGCUGUAGCCUCCCCCUGUCAGGCAGACAGGCUAGUGUCAGUACUGGAGUGCGAUGUGUGGCCGAGUUGCCACGGUUACCACCGCUUCCCAAUUAUGUCAUCAGCCCAGCGCCUCCGGGAAACCGGAAGCUCCGCGCUGCGCCGCGGUCUUGAACACCGGCAUGGGGACAUUAUUUAGAUGUUAAGCAGACCAGCAGUAAGUUGGAGUGACUUAUUGAAUGUCCUUCUAUAGAACUGUGGUGCCCAGCUAAAUCAUCAGCACAUGUGGCCACUGCAGACCAAGAAAUCUUCCACAGUAAUGUCAGCAGAUCAGCAGCAGCAGCAGCAGCAGAGGCAUGCUAUGGGUCAGUGCACACCAGCACAGAUAAGAGGAGUGUGUGAUCAGAUGCUGCUGUCGGAGAUCCAAAUAAUCCAAUUCGUUUGUCCCUGCAGCGGAUGGAGGCCCACGUGCAGGGCAUCCAAGAUUAAAUACAUUUUUUGAUUCAUAUUUUUAGAUCAUUUUUAUUUUAUUUUAUAUUUAUAAUCAAUAUGUUACAUUAAAAUU